GUAGGCUGUGUAACUGCAGAAUGUAAUAGAAACUGAAAGUGUAGAUGCAGUAGAAGCAGCUUUCAUUUCAAUACUAGUAUCCUCAAUUCUUUGGAAGACCAUCAGAGAAAAGAAGACAGUAUAACAGAGGAAAUUUUCAGUGCAGCAGAACAUGUCACCAAUCUAACACAGGCAUUUGAUAUGGAUGUCCACAGUGCUACACAGACUACAAGAAAGCUUCAGUUCAAGAACGGAGAAAUAUGAGUCAAAGAGAGAAAAUUUUGGAAGGCUGAUGAUGACUGAUGUCAAGGCUUGAAUGGCAGAAAUCGGACCACCUCUACUUUACUUUACUCUGGUUGCCACUAUUUUGCCCGAUAUAAUUGUGUAGAAAAAAUGUGUGAAAGGUAUUUUGAUCAUUAGUUCCUGGAUCUAUAACUGGACACAUACUGCAGCUUUUCUACACAGACCUGAUACUCACCUCUGCUGCUGGGCACGACUAAAGGUGACAGAAAAACUGUUUCCUUUGAGCACUGACUUGAUCUUUGGGAUCUCUCCACCACAAGCCUCAGCCAAUGAUUGAAACUCACUGUUCACUCUUGCAUACCAGCAUUUUCUGGCAAAGGGUGAGAAAACAUCUGUAUUUGAACAAGUGUCCACUUGGAUGGAGUGAAGCGUCGAUUUGAGCCUUGUCUCACCAUGACAGAUAUCAAAGCAUUGUCUAAUCUACUUGGAGGAAAAUACUGCUUGUCUUUGGUUGCAUUUGGGGAGAUCAUGGCCAAGAAAAGGAAGACCAGAAAUUUUCAAGAGUUAUACACCAAGUAUAAAAGGAAGUCCGACUCCGUCCCACUGCUACGGUACCUCAGAAUUUUACUGUAAGUCCCAUUAUUGGUAAUGCCUCAUACAUUUGAUGUUGUGAAAAUAGUGGAAAGAAGACAUGGUUUCACUACUGAGAAGGGAGGAUGAAGUUUACAGAUAGAGAGGGAGCACUGGAAAUCCUGGAGGUUUCAGGCAAGUAUUCAGCAUGUUUUUAGAUGCCAAAUUAGUAGCUGAUAAUCAAGUUAUUUGAUUAUAUUCAAUUUUAGUAAAAUUUAUUAAAUACUGCAAUAUUUCUAAAAUACUAAAGAAAGUUUUUCAGAUGACAUAUUUUCAGAAAGGAAAGACACAGACUUCAGGUAACACAGUAAAAAAUAAAUAAAUCACAUUAUCAGUGGAAAAUCCUAAAGGAACAUUCAAACUUGCUUUUUCUAUACACAACAAAAGAACCCAUACUACUUUAAUCUGGGGUUGUAUUGGUUUCAGUUUGCUCCAGUGAUGGAUAAGGAUGUGAUUUUUUGUGACAAAUAUGAAAUUUCUUGUAGGUAUUUUAUAUAAAAGCAUGGAGAUGUGACAAGAAACUUAAUAGGUAUUCAGGCCACAGGAGAAGUUUCAUCUGGCUUUGAACCACAUUUUCUUCAGUAGGAGUGUACUACACUCAUCUCUGAAUGAGAUUUAGUUAUUUUGUGAACAGAUUAUAAUAUCAUCAGAGUAAGCAUGACAAAUGCUCCAAUUUGAGCAGGAAUUGUAUCUGAAUGUUGAAAAUCCCUUCCCAGGCAUUGUCUCUGGAUUUCUACUUUCUUAACUGUGUUCAUUAUGAAAAAUACACGAAACAUCAUCAAGUUGAUAUUUUAAUAAAAAUAUGGAAAGAAAGGCAAGAAGGAAAGGUAUUCAAUUAAAAUUCCUGUGUGAAAAGGCUUCUUCCCUAUAAACACACAGACACACAUGUGUACCUAUCCCCGCCCUCCCACUUCUACAGCAAAGAAUUCUGCAUUUUUCUCAGACUCUCUCUAGUACAAAUUCCUCAUGGAAGAUUUAACAAAUAUUGUGUUUUAUCAGGUGCUCCUAAAAAGUAUUUACUGUAAAAUCUCUGUAGGAUGCAUCAUGCACAUGUAGUCUGAAAGCACUGAGUCCAGUGCAACAAAGGGAAAAGUGGAGGUAUUUGCUGACAGAAAAAAUUCUUUCACAAGGAAAUGCAAAUGAAAAAUUGAUACUUUUUUAUCAGGUCUCAAGUGUAUGUAACUGAGUCUUAUUCCAGCAAAAGAAUGGUGAUAACCCAUAAAGCUUUCAAGAGAAAUGAGAAGAGGAGGUAAUGUAAAGAGAAUAGAAAUAUAUUUUGCACCUUGAUUAGGUUCAUUUUUGAGGCAUUAUAUAUGACAUUAACCGACUUGUUAAAGCUCUCAAAUUUGGUAUUAUGAGGUAUUCCUAAGACUUAUGAUUAGUGAUUGUGGCCUUAAAAUGUCCUUGAUCUGUGCACACUUACUAUUUCUUUUAGCCUGUGUGCCUACCUUGAUGAGAUUCUCCACUAGUAUUUUUGUUGUUCUCAUUUUUGUAUUUUGUGAAACUAUUCACUGGUGUAAGUCUGAAGCAGAGCUCUUAGUCUGAGCCACAUUGCUUGUUUUCUAUAAUUUUUAAUUUUAUUUGGCUUUGUCCUUUCAUUUAACAGUUUGUCCUCGUAUAGUAGCUGUCGGCAACAAGAAAGUUCUACUGAAGUUGCAAAAUUUAAAUGAAAAUUUGUACUAGGGAACAGUGGCUGAAAGUCUGGAGUGUCAGUUGGACUGUUUUCAUUGUGGUCACAUUAUAAAACAUGAGUUAUAAAAACUAAUUUUUGUUAACAGACAUGAAACAUGGCUGAAUUCCUCUUAAGAAUGUUGCAUAAACUUAGUUGUCCUGUGUAAAAUUCAGCUCAGUCACCCAAACUCUAUUUAUGUUUUGGCUAAGUUCAUGUGAUAAACAAAAUUAUGGCUUUCUAUAUUCACUAUGUAAAUUGUAUUUCCAUUUGUAAAGAUGCUUUGAUUAACUGUUUGGUGAAA